UCAAUUUUUAAAGCAAAAAGCUUAGAUUCAUUGUUUUCUGCGCCGCCUUGAGAGACGUCACCAUUUUCAGUUUCAAUUUUGGAUUUCACCAAAUAUACAGGAGCAAAUGCGCCUUGACCAAGCUUGCUGAUAACGCUAAGGUUUGUAUUAGGUGGAUAAAAUAAAUGGAAUUCGGGGCCAUCAAGAGAGUGUCGAUUGCUACUUCUUCGACGUCCAGGGCCACCGGCCUUGGGUUUAAUUUUGGAGACAAAUGACUCUAUAUGUUCAACUAAAGCAAAGGAAGUUUCAUGCUCGUGGUAGUCCUUAUCACGCAAUAAAGAUGGGCGCAAAACUUGAAAAAGUAAGUCACGUAAAGAUUGAUCUAGGGGAUUUAUUAGCGUCGGUAAAUUGGAUAAAGAAGCCAUGGCUUCUUCAUAAGGCAUAGUAAGAUAUCCUGAAGGACCAGGCAAUUCAUCAUCAUUUUUAGGGAAAAAAGGCUUAUGUUCUAUAGGAGAAAGCUGGCCAAAGUCAUGUUUUCCGUUUUCAUGUGGGAUCGUGGCUACCGGAUUACUAACAGAGGACUCAUGCUUCAUGCUUUGGUUCUCAUUAACGAACAUAUAUCCUUUAGGCAUAGCUGGUGACAAAACAGAAUUAGAAUCAACAGUGGAAUAUUGAGGUGAACGGGGUAAAGUGUGUAAUUUCUUAGGGUUAGUGGGAGAAAUAUUAGAAUCCUCGGGUCUCCGUUUUGCAUUGGCAAAGGUAGUCGAAGUUGUUCCUGUUGCCGUUUCCUCUUGAAGAGUAGAU